UACUAGAGUAGCACUCGCAUAUCAAUAAGCGGAGGAAAAGAAACUAACAAGGAUUCCCCUAGUAACGGCGAGUGAAGCGGGAAGAGCUCAAAUUUGAAAUCUUAAAGGGUUUCCCUUUACGAAUUGUAGUUUAAAGAAGUGUUUUCUGUUGAGGUUUUGGUAAAAGUUCUUUGGAAUAGGACAUCAUAGAGGGUGAGAAUCCCGUAUUUGACCUUUACUUUCAACUUUGUGGAUACACUUUCAAAGAGUCGGAUUGUUUGGGAAUGCAGUCCAAAAUGGGUGGUAAAUUUCAUCUAAAGCUAAAUAUUGGCGAGAGACCGAUAGCGAACAAGUACCGUGAGGGAAAGAUGAAAAGAACUUUGAAAAGAGAGUUAAACAGUACGUGAAAUUGUCAAAAGGGAAGCGUUUGACACCAGUGUUGUUUUUCUGAAAAUCAAUUAAAGAACUGUUUAUGCUAAGCUGUUUAGACUUUAUCAGCUAUCUGUUUAGUUUUGAGCUUUUCUUUAAUGCACUUUUCAGUUAACAAGUCAACAUCAAUUUCUUUUGCUGUAAAAAAGCUUGAGGAAGGUGGCUUGAGAUUCGUCUUAAGUGUUUAUAGCCUCUUGCCUAUGCAGUCGGAGAGAUUGAGGUCUGCAGCGUAGAUCCUUCGGGGCUAAAUGCAUUUGUGCUAAGUUAUAGCAUUUUAUAGACAACUUGUUGACUAUGAUUUGUCUUGUAGCUUACUCGCUUAUGUUAUUUUACCUACGCUUAGGAUGUUGAGUCAUCACACAUCUCU
rnacentral:rRNA from 1 species